rnacentral:lncRNA from 1 species
CGCACACACACACACACACACACACACACACAUACACAGAGAGAGAGAGAGAGAGACGCGCACACAGACACACGCACACAGACGCGCACGCCCGCCCGCUCCCGCGCUGCCUCAGCAGGAGGAGCCCGGCCGGAACACACCAGGGCAGCACCAGGUGAGGUAAUGAAACUGUUGAAUCUGCAGACUGAAACCGUCAGAAGCCUUUCCUGAGGCCCUGAUGCUGCACAGUACCUCAAUCCAUUCAGCUUCUCUUCAAGAUGGUAACUACUUUCCGCUCCACAUCUCUGCUGCAGAAGAUCUUGUGAUUACCUGAAAAAGUGAAUUGCAUCCUGUAGAUUUCCCCUUAAAACUUCUGCUUCACAGAAGAGAUCAGCUUGUGACAGAUGCGUCAGCAAUGUCAGACUCACUUCUCUGUUGCCUAAUUGCCCUCUCCACCUUCUGUCAAUCUGAAACUCUCAUUUUGGAAAGGACUGAAGGAGUUGUAUUAAUAUUUGUGCUAUCCACAUUUUUCCUGCAUAUUGUCUGCUCCUUCCCUUGGUGUCUGGUUUGUCUUGGCUGCUUUUAAAAAUUCUGUUGCCUCUAGUGAGGGACUGCCAGAUUAAACCAGUACAGAGAAUCCAGGUGACUGUCUACUUUUACAAAUAUAGGUUGUGUAUAAUAAAUUCAGGUUUUACAUCUAUGCAAAUUAAGUCAUCAUAUGAUUAUGACUACAUGCAUUUUUUUAUCAAAUAUGGCAUAUAUUUCACAAAUUAUAUUUAACUUAUACACAUGUUGCUAUUCUGAAUACCUGACUAGGAAUUACAAAGUGUGUCACUAGAUCUUAGUAAGUGGGCUUAUGGAACAAGAAGAAAUAAGAGAAAAUCACCUCUUUUCCUUGCAUUCCUGACAAGUCCAGUGUAAGGGCUUUUCCUACUCUAGAUGGCAAUAUAAACACCUUACCACAGAGCUGUUGAGAGAUAAAAGUACAUCUUGUUGUUGGAAACUUAAAGAAUGUAUGAAAAACAAAACAAAAUACCCUAAAAAAGGAAGUUUUAAAGUAAUGUGUCUUUGGUCUAGUGUUUGUCACAUCUACUUGGUAUGGCCUUCCUCUAAUGUUUCAGUCAUGCAGUGUAAGACAUUAGUCACAAUGUCAAAAUAAGCACAUUACUUCUGCAAAAAUGUAUUUUCACCUCAGGAAUAUUGUGAAGUGAAAAUAGGAUUUAGCACAAUUCUUCCUUUUGAGUUUUUCUACAGACAGGACAGUUUUAGUGUAAAGCUCUAAAUCUUGCAAGAUUAUUCCCAGCAUUAGGUACGACACAUCUGGAAGAAUCUGCCAACUGAGUGCUAGCAAGGAUUACGCUGAGAAGGUAACAACUCAGUGCUUUCACUGUUAACCGUCCUCCACAACUGCUGUUUUUUGGUGUUUUUGUGUGUGUGUGUUCGUUUGUUUCUUUGUUUUCCGAAUAAAUAAACAAAUACUUUGUUGAGCUCAAGAUGUCUCUGUCAGUAUUUAUAUUUCAGACUGCAGGAGAAUCUGAUCUGGAUGGAUGUACAAUUCAGGUGGAACUUAGGUGUGAUCCAGAAAACCUCUGCUAAACAGAGGCAGUUGCUAAACCUCAAAGUAGUAUGUUACACCUCUAAAUUCACCCUUUUCCAUCUGGGAAUGCCAGGCUACCUUUUGGGCCUGCUCAUGUCCAAGUCCUCUGGACCCCAGAUCUACGAUGUUUUGUUCCUCCACCCAAAUCAUUUAAUUGGCACAACCUGAUCCCUACUCCUCAGGCUCCCAUCUUUUAAUAUAUUUUAAUUUUUUUUUUUACUUUAUUUGUAUUUUUUAAUCGAGGAUGGUGUUGCGUAUUUUCCACAGCAAUUUUAGAUAGAGUGGACAGGAAUAAUCCCAGGAAAAUUCAGUUUAUGUUCCAACCCUGAGAAUAAUCUAAACAUUAGAUUAUGAUCUCAGGAAUCCUGAAUUUGUUGUGGGGCCUCAAGGGCACCGUUUCAGUAGAAGGGUCAAGCAUGCUUUUUCU